GAGCACACACAACAAACUCUCGAGCUGCCUGUCGGUGCGCGCCACCAAAAACCAAAACAAAGACCCCGACUAAAAACAAAAAACAAAUCAGUUUUCGCGGACGUUUUUGUGUCAGUUCCAGAAACAUUUGUUGUUGACGUCUGCGAUUAGCUUGAUGAAGAUUUAAGUUCUCGCUACAGUUACACGUUUGUUCUAGAAGGGAUUAUUAAAAACCAUUUUAUGUUUAAUUUGGAAAGUUAAGGGAUCUUGGUACUGAAGAGAUAUAUGCCUAAGUAG